rnacentral:tRNA from 1 species
AGUAAUAUGGCUGAAUUAUAGGCGAUAAAUUGUAAAUUUAUAAAUAAAUUGAAUAAAUUUUAUUACUG